AAUAUCUCUCCACUUUCUCUCUCUCCAUUCACUCUAAUUCUCUUUCUCCCCAAUAAUCUUGUGAAUAUAUUCAUCCAAAUUUCCACUCUCCAAUCUCUCCAAUGACAAUGAAGAGGUGGUAGAAUAGGUAGAGGGCAAACACCCCUUUGGAAACAGUUUGCAGGCAGCACAAGAAGGGAAAGAUGAACACCCGAUGAAUUGGGAAGCUGAGUAGGUUUCGGAGCUUGCGGCCCGUGCAAAAUAAUUGGAUCCAACGGAGGAAAAGGCAGACCGACAGCAAUACAAGACCCCAAUCACAGGCAAACAGAGGCAAUCGUCUCCCAUUCAAUUGAUGGUUCCUACAUUGUUCAAUCAACAAAUUCACAUGGAGAAAAUCAAAUCACACUUAGAUGACAGUGGGUACACAUUUUAUUGAUCCAAUUGCUACUCAAUUGCCUCAAUUUUGAUCCCCAAAGUCACGAUUGGGACGGUUCAAUCAAUUGCAAUUUGUGGCAAAAAAUGGUGGUGGUGUUUCUAGUGGUUGUGGUUUUAGGUUGCAAGAUGGACCCAUUUUUUUCUCUGUUCUCUAUUCUUUGUGGAUUUGAGGUGGUGGCAACGAGUUUUGAGGUUUUUGGUUAGGUUGUGGUUGUAGUGGAGAUGGAGGUUGUGAUUGUUGGUGGUUGUGGUGAGGAAUUGGUCUUUGUCCUUUGUGGAUUUGAGGUGGUAGCGAUGGCGAGUUUGGGUUUUUUUGUUGGGGUGGUGUUUGUGGUAGAGAUGGAGGUUGUAAUGUUGGUGGUUGUUUUAUGGUGGUUUGUAGUGGAUUUAAAGGUGGUAGUUAUGGGUCACAUAUCAAUGUUCAUGGGUUACAUGUUAAGCCCCUUUUUGGUUUCUAUUCUUUUUUCAUUAAAAUGAAAAAUAUCACCAUUAUUCAUUACAUCUAGCCACAAAAUUUAAAUUUCUAUCUCUUGUGUGGAACCCAUAGGGAUUAUAUUUUUCAUUAUCAUUCUCCCAAAAAUGAGUAACAAACGGGAGCUCAAUAAAAUUGAUCACAAAUCGCUGAUUUAUGUUCAUAGGUUAAUAUUAAUUGGUCACAUGUUAUAGUUCAUAAGUUACAAGUCAUAGGUCAUUAUUAAUUGAUCACGAGUUAUUGUUCAUG
rnacentral:lncRNA from 1 species